rnacentral:rRNA from 1 species
UUAGAUUUUAUUUAUUAAUUUUAUUUAUUUAAAUUAAAAAUAUUAAAAAUAAUUAUAUAAAAAAAAGUUUGAGUAUUGUUUAAAGAAAAAAUAAAUUUAGUUAUAGUGAAAUAGUAUUGUAAAAGAAAAUUGAAAUAAUUUGAAAAAUUUUUAUUUUAAAAGAAAAUUUGAUUUAUUGUACCUUGUGUAUCAGUGUUUAUUAAAUAAAAAAUAUUUAAUUUAUUUUUCUCGAUUUUAAAAGAGUUAAUAUAAUAUUAGAGUUAAUGUAAUAAAAUUAUUUUAAAUAUUAUAUUAGAAAUGAAAUGUUAUUCGUUUUUAAAGGUAUCUAGUUUUUCAAGAAAUGAAUUUAAUUCAAAAUUUAUAAAUUUAUUUAAAAAUUUUUUUAAUUAAAUAAUUUAUAAUUUUAAUAUUUUAUGGGAUAAGCUAUAAAAUAAAUUUUUAAAAAUAAUAGAUAAAUUUAAUAAAUAUAUGCUUAGAAUUAGCAAUUGUUUAUAAUUAUGUUAUAAUUUAUUUUAUAAUUGAAAUUAUUUAUUAAAUUUUAAUUAUUUAUUGAAAUAUUAAUUUUAAUUUUUAAAGUUAAGAAAUAAUGAUAAAAUUAGUAUAUUUAUAUUGUAAAAAUAAAUUUAAAUGAAAAGUUUAUGUAAAG